AUUGGUAUGCAAAUACCACCCUUCUCGGGUGCAGAAUGGCUUCAGUUGGAAGGGCUCACACAACAGCCAGGCUCAUCACAACACGCUCGGAUUGGCAAGGGGGGGCGGAAGACGUUUGCCGCGCGCAGGAGGGAGGGCUUGGGUGCCUCCUCGCCAGGGAACCAGAGCACGUGUCACAACUCCAAACACCAGCCACUCCGGAAAGGGAACCAAUCCCAGCGUGCUCCUGCAAGGUCAGCCAAGAGAAAUGUGUCUUCCUUCUACGCCCCUACGACAGUCUCUUCCUGUAAACUCAGGAAAGCGUCAGCCGUGUUGGAAGGGAAAGUCGUGGUUCACCGGAGAAGAUCGUUUCUAACUGGGGGAUCACUCAGCAGAAAUCAUCUUCUCCCUGGAACGAAGGCGUCGUGAGGCCCAAACGGGCUUUUUUAACCUUCCUAUGUUCCUUCUCACUGUGGACCAGGUUUGAAGGCACAGCUUGUAGGCAGAGGAUCGAGGGCCAGGACGCAGCCCGUGCGACUCCCAGGCUGGCGUCUGGGCCUCGGUGAGUGGGAACCGGCUGGCCCGCAAGCCCCAGAGGGCGAGCCAUCAGUGGGCAAACCCGUAUUUCCUGCCUGGUUAGUCACGACUCCACCUGACCUCGCAGCAAACACGCCGGCCUGGGAGAUGACGGGGUGAUUUCGGCUCCGGGAGCAUCUAGGCUCCGCCGGUCAGGGUGAGACAUGGAACCCCGGCCCGUGUCAACUCCGGGGAGCACCGGGCAGCCGCUGCGGGCCGAGGACUCGGCGACGCGGGAGGGAGGAAAGGCUCUGCCCUCGCUGUGUCUGCCCGGCGGGGGAGGCCAGCUCCUCGAACAAGCGGCGUGAGAGACACAAGGAGGGCUGUGAGGUCACAGCCAGUGGCACCCAGAGCAGGCGGUGGAUGGAGCUGGAAGACCGGCCGUCCAUCUGGCAUUGAAGGAUGGCAGAAAGGAGGCCUCCAGCCCAAGAGGGCAGCCGGCAAGGGCACCGCGGUGGCCCCGGGUGCAGAGCAGCGGGCCAGAGGCUUCAGUUAGGAAAACGGGGGUGAGACGGUGGGAGAAGUAGCGGAACCAGCAAAGUCAGGCGAAGGACAUCGGUGCCGGGGCCCUGGGGCGGCCAGCAGGCCGUGUGAGGGCAGGCCCGGGGGUUGAGGGGCGGACAGGAGCACCGCAACGGUGCCGGGCUGUUAUCAUGGGCCAGCCUGGAAGCUCUUUUCUUGCAAAAAAUCAAUUUCGGAGGGAGUUUGAGCAAAUCUCCAGGUUAUCGGUGUACAAAAAGGAAUGCAUUUAGGUUCGGGAAUGCGAAGUCUGGGUUUCCCUAGAGACGCCGUCUUCCCAAUCCCAAGGGCCCUAUUUAAGCAGGACGGCGCUCCGGAUGGGAAGAGAGGGGAAGUGAGGAGCCUGGCUGCAGCCGAAAAGGCUCACAGACACUGGAAGCUUCUCGCGGCAAGGAAGGAGACCGCAGUUGGUGGAGGUGACGAACACAGAACAGCAGUGGAAGGGGGGGCCGGUGAAGGGAGACGGCCUUGGGACCAGGGAGGAAUUUCUCCAACGAAUCCAAAGGUCCAGCGACGCUAGGGCUCCCCCGCGAGGCCCAGAGCUGGAGGAACCCACCCCCCAAAAGCGCUCAUCAAAAGGAGACCAAGGGAUUCGACUUUGACCUAGAGAUUGAACAAAACGCCCUCCGUCCCACGGAAGUUUCCUGGUGCCGCUGAGGUGCAGGGUUGGGUCAGAGAGGCUGGGCCCAUCUCUGCACACACCCAACACCCGAAGCCCGAUGGGCCCCGUGCAGUGGCGGCCGGGGCCUGCUUGCUCCUGCUCCUAGCAUGUGACGUGCCCGUGGACUUUACCCUCGUGAGCCCUGUCCUUGCUUGGCUGGCGUCCCCGGACCAGCUGGGACUCUCAGCCGACUGCGCCCCUUCCCAGCCCUGCCUGCAGUGAGAUCACGCCGGCCGCUGAGCGUCUGCCACGACAGGAGUAUUUGCCCCAGGGAAAGCGGCACGUGUGACGAAUCAGGGCUUUUCUCUCUCCUUUUCGGGGAGCAGGUGGUGAAGCGUGUCCCAGCGGACACCAGGGGAGCCAGGGCAAAGCCCCUGGGCAACCCAAACUCCAUCCUGCUCCUCCUCGACGUCCUGUCCAGUGCUCUCCGCACGCCUGUGCCUGGCGUCUGGGCUCGCGCUCAGCCUGGCUUCUGUCAACUGGCCCUGGGUCCUCUGUCGCUCUCUCCCCAGCCAUUCACGUUGUCUAAUGGCGCCCACUCCACCGGAAGCAUCCGCCGAGUGCCCGCCGUGCACCAGGGGCCGAGGGGAGCGGUGUGCACACGCGUGAGCUCACGGACGCCCCCGGCCACCCUUGGCAGGGAGGUGCCCUCCUAGCCCCGCCCCCACGCCCCAGAGCGGGAGCCGGAUGCCCUCCGAGGAGACACUCCCCAGCCCGCCGUAAGAGGCACAACAUCCAGAUCGUCCAAAGUAAUGGCUGAUCCAAGGUGGCUUGUCCUUUGAGGAGGGGUGGACCCCAGGGCCCAGUGAACCCUGGAGGAUUUAGCGUCCUACAACCGGCACCUUACCCACUCCUCGCUGAGACUGUGCCCCAGGGCCAGCGGGAGACCGAAGCCCAGGAUUACGACUUGCGGAAGACAGUUGACACGGGAUCCUUUUGAGGUGGGCCCAAGGCACACACAGAACGUGGCGGAACCCGUGUUCCCGCUAGCGCCUGGGAAGGAGAGGAGGCUCCCUUCAGACACACUCCCGGCUGUCUCCCUGCGUCCGAUGGGAUUUGACUGGUGGUGGGAGUGGGCUGGGGCAGCUCCAAGUGCCCGGGCUGUUUCUUCACGUGUCAGGCGGGAUGACGCCCUCUCCCUCCAGGGCUGCGGGAGACCCGAGAACAAAGUCCACGCAGAGGUAAACCCUCCGUAGACGUUGUUCCGCGGAACUCGCUGAGCUGCAGUGACAGCCCAGGGGAGGCCGUGGAGGCUUCCGGGCGCUCCAAACAGAAACACGGUGACCAAGGGCUCCUUUGGACCUCGGGUCACUGUGGACACUUACGGGAGGCCCAGAUCAAGUUUGUCCGGCUUCCGACGGAGUCUCUCCUCCGGGCUCGACAGCUCGUGGCCACGCGAUUGUCCUUGACGGGCAGACGGGGAAGCGCCAGCAGGGGAAACCGAGGCAGCAACGGCUCCGGGUCUUUCGUGAGCUGCCCCCAUCAGCUGGCCAUGGGCACCAGCGCCCGUGUUAGGGAAGACAUCGUCCUCCCGACCUGAGAGCGGUGGAGACACAGAGGCUCCGGGAAGUCGGCCAUUUUGCCAAAAGUCACCUGGGAGGGCAGGGCGGAACGGGCACCAAGCCAGCCCGGAGCCCAGGCUCUUCGCAGCACCUCCCGGAGGCCCCGGAACCUGGGCCCGGAACGGCCACGUUACGAGGCCGAGGUGUCCAGUGCAUUCCGGAAGCUCUUGCUGCCUCCGUGGCCUCUGCAAACACGCACGCUGGGAGCACGUGGUCUGGUCCUCCCUCCUUCCCAGUGAAGGAAGACAGCCCGACGGGAACAGCGCAGGCCACCCUCCGAGAUCGUGCUCUGCCGAGGGCGUCAGCCUCCGUCGCUUGUGUCUGCUGGGACUCCGAGGCCGCCAGAGGCCCGGGGCAGCCUGGCGGUGGAUGGAGGGGAGGCCCCGGCUGUGCCCUGCGUGGGAGCCGCGGCCUGGGGGCUGGAGUGGGGCAGCCCCGGGGCACGCAUUCAGCUUUCUGGGCUCUGUCCUGAGUCGGAAGUGGGGACAGGCCUCAGGGAAGCUUGGGGGGCGGGGUGCUAAUCACGUCCUGGUCGUUCGGGACCGACCGUCGCGGGGACACUGCUGGCUUCCUGGAUGGGCGCUGGAGACGGAGGUCCCACCCCCACCACCGUAGCACACGUCCGACUCCUGGAGAGCAGGCGGGCUUCCCGGGCUGGUCACCGUGGAUGAGGAGGCGGUCCCCUGCGGGUUGUGGGCCAGGGUUCUGGCCGCUGGCCCUUUGCACAUUCAGCCUGCCACAGGAGACCCCAGCCCUGAACACAGCCCCGCAAGCCAGGGGCCAGGGGAUAACGGGGGCUGCCCACGAGGCGAGUGGGUCUGGGAGAGCUGCUCUGGGGCCUUCCGCAGCCCCAUGGCCAUUACCGAAAGGCUGUGGGUCACUAAGUACAAUUUCAUCCCGGGGCCUCAGGCACAGGCGGGAGAUGUGACGGCUCCAUUCUUCAGGCUUGAAACCCAGGCUCCGUUGUUCCGGGACCCUCGUCCCGGGCUCCCUGCUCUCCUGGGGCCUCCGUCCCGCACCACAUCCCUGGUGCUACCUGCACGACUCCUCCUGUCUGGGCUCAGGCAGGACAGCCUCUGUCCCCAACGUGAGCCUGUGGCCUGGCAAGGCCCCAGUGGACUCGAGGUUUCCCUGUGGGUGUCUUCCUGACCCCACCAGCAGCCUCCGCACACUCCUUGGAAGUCAGGACUGACCACCUGCCCUUCCCUGGGAUCGGCCUGGCCCUUGCCCACUGCUGUGAUGCCCAUUGCUGGGACCAGGCCGGGCUGGGCUUCUUCAAGGAGCCCUCACCUCUCAGGCUGUACCUGGGCAGUGAGCCGCACAGCCUCUGCUCCCCUUGUGAGGCCCUAAGUUUACGGGGGGCUCCCACUGUCAGGGUGUAGAGCCAGCAAGGGGUGGGGUCCCAGGGGCCUCACCUCCUGCUCUGGGUUCUUCUUCCUGACUUUUCCUGAAGCUCCGCCCCCAGCCCCCUGCUGGUGACUCCCCGUGGGUGUUGGCCUGCCUGGUGUCCCCAGUAGGAGAGGGCGGCCCAGGUCAACAAAGUGGGGACGCGGUUGCCUUUGCCUCCGCAGGGGCGGGGGGAGGCUGAGAUGGGGGGAGGAGACUCUGGGACUUCCCACCGCAUCACAUGCUGCCUCCCUCCUCUGCAGGGACUCACCCAGAGAGUGUCCUGGGUUCAAGUUCCGCCCUGGGGUUUCCGGGCUGGACCCUGGGGGAGCUUUACUUACUGUCCCCACGCCUUUGUCGCCCGGUCUGAGCAGUGGGGUGAUGUAGUGAGGGAACAUCCACCAAUCUCUUACUGUAAGUUGUGCUCCAUUGUUUUGCGACAGCUUUUUUAAACUGGGACGUUUUCAAGGUAAAAUUGUAAAGUGAAGAUUGGCCAUAGGAGGGCCCCUGUGGGGCAGUGUCCUCGUGUCAUCAGGGCCUCCUGGCUGCCACCACCACUGUGGUAAUCACCCGCCUCGUCCGCAGCAGAGCAAAGCAUUCCUCCAGGGCGACCGAGCAUGGGGUGCGGGGCAAAGCUGGGGUGCAGGGACUGGAGGCCACCAGCCCUGGGCUCGCCGCUCUGUCCAGCUCCAGCUGGACCCCGUGUUCCAGUGCUCCCCACCCCUCGUUCAGCAGCAGCCUGGAAAAGCCCCACCCGAGAAGCAUCUGGGCCCCCACAUUUGUCCCACGCGCCCCAGAGUCCCUGGGGAUUCAGACGAGUCAAUUCUCCUUUACCUCCAACAGCAGCGAGAGUAUUUCAUACCCACGCUUCACAGUCACUUCUCUGCAAACCCAGGAUGGCCUGGGAAAUGGCACCGGCUCCCGCCUGCCGCACUUUCAUACGGGGCUGUGGGACAGGGCGACCUCAUUAACAAAACAAGAUAGAAGACAGGGGGCUGGGCCGGGCCCAUAAACUGUGGUUUGCCACGAUCUUCAGAAGUGAUCCGUUGUUGAAGGUGAGAUGAGUACACUCUUAUCUCUGUGUGUAUGCACACAUGCACACACGCGUGUAUCUACGUGAAUGGGUAUCCAUGUAUUUUGAAAAUUUAAAGCUGGGGGCGCCUGGCGGGCUCUGUCGGCGGAGCGUGCGACGCGAUCUUGAGGCUGUGAGUUCAAGCCCCACGUUGGGCGUAGAGAUGGCUUAAGAAUAAAAUCUUUCAUAAAAAAGAAAAUUAAAUUAACAGGUAAAAAAUUUAAAGACCACAGACUUAGCGUAAGUAUGUUCAUUACAAGGCUACUUAUCGCUUAAAAGCUUUGACAGGUAACCUAAAGUCCAACAACAGGGAAUUGACUGCGUUAGGUAAACCACACAUUGGGGGGUCUAUGCAGCUAUUAAAAAUUGCACGGCAGGAAAGUGCCAAUAACAUGAAAACAGCUUCUCAAUACCCGUGUAGCAAGGAGAGAAAGCUUGUAGGUGCUGGUAUUAGUGACAGAGCGUGAGAGAGGACAGAUAACCCAGCAAGCACCACAGUGUCCCCGAGGCCCAGGGGCCACAGUGCCGGGCCCGCUGGAAGUUUCCGCCGGGGGUCCCUGCUGCCCAGGUCGGCACCCCCGGAGACACGCCCGCCAGGCCUCGGGCCUGUGCUCAGAGGCUCCUGGAGUCGGAGGCUCACCCCCCGUCCCCCGAGUCUCCCACGCCACCCUCCCGGGAUCACCCACACGUUAAACCUCAGGAAGAGACACGAGGCAGCAAAGCAGUUCUGCGCACAUGCAGCACGUCCCCUUCCAAGGGCUCUGGGCGAGGCGGCUCGGCGUUCUGCCUGGUGCGGCUAUGAAUUAAAAGCUUCAGACUGAACCGUCUCCAAGAUAGCUUGAGAUUUCGGGGAGAGGAUUUUUCCUUCCUUUCCCUUGUUCCUUUUCACUUGCCUUUUUUUUUUCUCACUUUUAAAAAACACAGUCAUUAAAGGAGGUCCCGGAGGAAAUGAAACACAGAGCACUGUGUUAAGAUAUCAUAGAAGUUCUGACUUUCAAUACCCAAUUCCCCAGAAAAUUUUGAAUUAAGCCAGUGAGUUCCACAUUUACAGAAACGCUGGAAAUUUUCUGGGGAAAUUAUUCAGAAUGAAAUGAGUAGCUGUAGCUGAUAAGAGUCUCUCUCCCUGCUCCCAAUCUGCCCAAAGCUGUUCUUUCCGUGAUGAAAUUUUUAUGAAUGAAAACACCAAGGCUACCAACGGCUCCAGCAGCCGCAGCCGGAUCUCAGGUGGGACGAGGCUUUGAAACGUGGGGUGUGGGGACGCUGUCGGGGUCGUGCGAGCCUCGGCCAGAUUUGUGCCCUAGGACGCGCCCGGACAUUUUGGGGAAGCUCAGAAGACAGAUGUGGCUCUGUGCCACAACAAAUGACCUUACAAAGGUCACCUUGUUAUAUAAGGUCAUUAGUUUCUAAAAUCACGACCCCCUGCCCCGUUUCAGAUCAAAAGAGCAUAUACGAUUGUUGCCGGUUCAAUAGUAAACUCCCUUGGUGAUUAUAGAUGACAGGAAAUUUAAGUACGUAUGUAUUUUGAAAAUACUUUAAGGUAAUAUAAUACCUAAGUUCAAUUAAAUAUUUUAGUUCAAUUGAAAUAUAAUUGAAAUAUAAUUAUGGGAAUUUACUGCAUAAUUGCAUCGCAUAAUUGUGUAAUAUGAGACAGUGAUCAUUUUAAUAACUCUUUAUGCUUCAUAAUUCCUCAGGAAGAAUAAUCCUCAUCAUAUCAAAAUAGGAUGUUUAUUAUAACCAGGAUAUUUUUCCACAAGGCACAUAGUCGUGUAAGUCUAAAAAGACAUUACCUGAUAGUAUUCUGUUGUCAUAUCCUUGUUUGAGUGUGUAAAAUGUAUUUUUAAUUUUCUAAUUAGCAUGAUAGGAAAUGGACUAUGGAUUUUAAACAUCUGAAGAAAAAGAAGGCUUUGCAUAAUUCGGAAAUAAUUCUCAUCAGGCGUUUGUCAAACAUCAGUACAACAUAUACAUUCUGAAAUUCUGUCUUACCUGUUACUAUAGAGUAAGAGAUAUAAUCCUUAAUAGUCUAAGGAUUGCCAAGAAAACAAAGAAUAAAUGGAGAAAAGCUU